rfam:Dethiosulfovibrio salsuginis strain TSBA 82 genome assembly, contig: Ga0105850_101
GGGCCCAUAGCUCAACUGGUCAGAGCCACCGGCUCAUAACCGGAAGGUUCCAGGUUCGAGUCCUGGUGGGCCCA